GUCUCUCGUGGUUAGCGCGUUCGGCUGUUAACCGAAAGGUUGGUGGUUCGAGCCCACCCAGGGACG
rnacentral:tRNA from 1 species